UAGGGAAUCUUCGGCAAUGGGGGCAACCCUGACCGAGCAACGCCGCGUGAGUGAAGAAGGUUUUCGGAUCGUAAAGCUCUGUUGUAAGAGAAGAACGUGUGUGAGAGUGGAAAGUUCACACAGUGACGGUAACUUACCAGAAAGGGACGGCUAACUACGUGCCAGCAGCCGCGGUAAUACGUAGGUCCCGAGCGUUGUCCGGAUUUAUUGGGCGUAAAGCGAGCGCAGGCGGUUUAAUAAGUCUGAAGUUAAAGGCAGUGGCUUAACCAUUGUUAGCUUUGGAAACUGUUAAACUUGAGUGCAGAAGGGGAGAGUGGAAUUCCAUGUGUAGAGGUGAAAUGCGUAGAUAUAUGGAGGAACACCGGUGGCGAAAGCGGCUCUCUGGUCUGUAACUGACGCUGAGGCUCGAAAGCGUGGGGAGCAAACAGG
rnacentral:rRNA from 1 species